rnacentral:rRNA from 1 species
UACGUAGGGGGCAAGCGUUGUCCGGAUUUAUUGGGCGUAAAGAGCGUGUAGGCGGCCUGGUAGGUCAGUUGUGAAAACUCGAGGCUCAACCUCGAGACGCCGAUUGAAACCACCAGGCUAGAGUCCGGAAGAGGAGAGUGGAAUUCCCGGUGUAGCGGUGAAAUGCGUAGAUAUCGGAAGGAACACCUGUGGCGAAAGCGGCUCACUGGACCAUUACUAGACGCUGAGGC